UUUUAGAAGGAUAUCCGACACCCGGAUAUCCACGAACCCCGGAUCCGGAUAAGGAUAGUAAAAUUAUGGAUCCGCCGGAUAAGGAUCCGGAUCCGGAUAUCUUAAAAUUGCCCGGAUACCGAUCCGUCCGAGGCCUACUAAUGGUGAUGUUUAAGUUAAAUGUAUUAUGUUUUAAUAUAAUGUAAUUUUUUAGAUAAUAAAUGUUUGAUAUAAAUAUAUAAUUUAUAAGAACUUUAUGAAAAAUAAAAUAUAAGGGACCAAUUUGUAAAUUUAUAAGUAAAAAGUAUUAAUCAUAAAAAAAAAAAAAAAAUAUAUAUUUAAAAAGAUUCUUUUUUAGAGUUAAAUUUAGAGAGAAGUCACUCUAUUUAGAGUAACAAUUUAGUUUCUUUUUGUUUUCUUCUUUGUAAUCGGGUGUCGGCAGAAAUACUUCAGUUUUGAGACCUUUACUUAACUAACAAUACUUAUUAAGCUAAAACUAAGAAAUAAAAUAUGAAAGUAAAGCAAAAACAAAAAGCUAAACUACACUACUUAUAAAUGUGUGCUUUAUCGCUUAUAAAUGAGAUUCUCAAGAGCCUAAAAUUUCACUUUUAAUUAAUUUUACUUUGAUAAAUCUGUUAACUCUCCGGCGGCGGAUGCAGAGAGCGGUAUUUUACGGUGGGUGGUAAAGAAAGGCUCAACUAUCGUUUCACUUUGCUUCUUGUUACUGUCAUCGGGAUCUUCUAUUCUCAGUUUUCUCCGUCUCCUCUCUUCUCAAAAACCCUAAACUACUCUUAAUUUGGGGUCGUUUCAUUCAUCCUUGUUCGGGUCGUGUCUUGCAGGUUGGCGCAACAACAAGUGAAGAGGAUCGAAUCAUCCCCCUCAACCUUCGCUACGGAUCUUGCAACGCUGCAAACUCAAAUUGGAGCACAACAAAGCCCUCACUAUCUUUGGAACCCAUCUCAUUGAGACCUCCGUCUCUCUUAAGUCCCUUGCUAAAGAUAUCGACAUUUCCUCCAAAGUUUUGACCCGUUUGAUAGCAGAGGUUUCAAAUGUGAAUUCCUCUUGUGCCCUCGACGGACACCGGUUGGGUUUAGAGAGGGUUAUUAGGGUUUCUUCCAAGACUGAUGCUUCAAACUCGGCCAUCCUUUGUGCUGCCUUUAGAGCAAUCUUUGGAGCUGUUGCUACUGAUUCUGGAAUGGUUGAUGAGAGGCGACCAAGGUUUUCUUGAAAGUACAUGGAGAUCGAGUUGGAAGACUAGUGUCUGUGUUGUAAAUUAGUGGUGCUUUAUCCUUUCGUGUUUUUCUUCCUUUGCCAAAAGCUCUAAGAGAUUCUUCUUUAAGGGCUGCUUAUAUGGUAAUAAUCUCAAGCUUUCUCUUUUAAUGUUGUGUUACGACCAAAACAUUAUACUAGUUGAUGUUAUGAAGAUGUAAGGAACCAGUUGUAUAGGCAGGCCCAAUGAAAGGUUUCAAGCUUCAACUAAA